UUCUGUAGAGUAAAAGGCAAAAGCCCCCUUGAUUUGGAUUUUCAACGUAAGAAUACAAACCGUGAAAGCGUGGCCUAUCGAUCCUUUAACCAUUGUGUUUCGGAUCUAAAGUUAGAGGUGUCAGAAAAAGUUACCACAGGGGAUAACUGGCUUGUGGCGGCCAAGAGUACAUAUCGACGCCGCUUUUUGAUCCUUCGAUGUCGGCUCUUCCUAUCAUUGCGUAGCAGAAUACGCCAAGUGUUGGAUUGUUCACCCUUCAAAAGGGAACGUGAGCUGGGUUUAGACCGUCGUGAGACAGGUUAGUUUUACCCUACUAAUGAAAUUAGUUGGGAUUGUCUAGACAGUAAUUCGAUUCAGUACGAGAGGAACCAUUGAUUCGGACAUUUGGUAUCGCCCUUACCUGAACAGGUAGCGGGGCAAAGCUUACGUCCGACGGAUUAUGACUGAACGCCUCUAAGUCAGAAUCCACUCUAGAAAGACAAUAUUGUGUG
rnacentral:rRNA from 1 species